rnacentral:misc_RNA from 1 species
GAUGAAGAACGUAGCGAAAUGCGAUAAGUAAUGUGAAUUGCAGAAUUCCGUGAAUCAUCGAAUCUUUGAACGCACAUUGCGCCCCCUGGUAUUCCGGGGGGCAUGCCUGUCCGAGCGUCAUUGCAACCCUCAAGCGCGGCUUGUGUGUUGGGCUUCGUCCCCCCGUGGACGUGCCCGAAAGGCAGUGGCGGCGUCCCGAAUGGUGCCCGAGCGUAUGGGAACUCUCUUCCGCUCGAACCGGCCCAUUCGGCGCUGGUCGAACCCCAAUUUUUUUUUACCGGUUGACCUCGGAUCAGGUAGGGAUACCCGCUGAACUUAAGCAUAUCAAUAACGGAGGA